UACGGCCGUAUCACGUUGAAACACCGAUUUCCGUCCGAUCACCGAAAUUAAGCAGCUUCGAGCCUGCUCAAUACCUAUUUGGGUGACGACUUGGGAAUAUCAG